rnacentral:lncRNA from 13 species
UUCCUCUUCAGUCUCUUCAGUACAAUCUAGUCAGUCUUUACAGUGUUCAUAUCUCUACAAUCUAGUCAGUCUUUACAGUGUUCAUAUCGCUACAAUCUAGUCAGUCUUUACAGUGUUCAGUACAAUCUAGUCAGCUUUUACAGUGUUCAUAUCUCUACAAUCUAGUCAGCCUUUACAGUGUUCAGUACAAUCUAGUCAGUCUUUACAGUGUUCAGUACAAUCUAGUCAGUCUUUACAGUGUUCAUAUCUCUACAAUCUAGUCAGUCUUUACAGUGUUCAUAUCGCUACAAUCUAGUCAGUCUUUACAGUGUUCAGUACAAUCUAGUCAGC